CUGACCCUGACAUGGCCCCUUCCCCCAUGGUGGGACCUGAGCCGCUCAGGAAGGGCCCGGCUUCCAGACCCCCUUCUCAGAGCCCGUGACGUUCCCUGGCCGGGGGCACUCGGUGCCCGACACGCGGCUGCCCAUCCCCUCAGGCCGUCUUUGGGCUGGCCUCCCAGGAGCAGCCAGUGUGGGAGGGUUGAAGCCAGAGGCCCAUUUCCGGGCAAUGAGCCGUGGGAAGGCCACCUGGCCUCCCUGACUCCCCCACUAGGGGCCAGGGAGACGCCUGCUCUCUUUGCUGGGACAGCAGCUCUGUGCUUGGAGCGUUUACUGCACAGGAAGGCCCAUGCUUUGCACGGAUUCACUCUCUGACUUCUCCCCAUGACUCCAGGGAGGUAUGCACAGUUAUUGACCCAUCUGAGAGACCACGAGACUGAGGCCUGGGAGAAUCGUUGCGCCCCGUGGCCUCGUACACGCCCCGGGUCUCUUGGCAGGCCUAGCAGGCAACUUGGGAAUGAAAGUGGCCACCUGUCCCAGUGGCCAGCCUGGUCCCCAGCUAUCCAGAUGUGUCAGUGCCGUUCCACUGUCUCCUCCCCUCAGGGAGAGGUUUUACUAAUCCGGUGGUGCAAACCGCCAGAGAGAGGACUUCAGGGUUAAAAUAUCCAGGCUGGGAACCCAGCUCUGGCACGUACUGGCUGGUCAAGCCUGGGCAAGGCACCCGGCCCUCCUGGCCACGCAGGGGGCCGUGCACCCUUUCCUCGCUCCAGAGGACGCCCCCACCUCGUCCCUGCUGUGGCCGCUCCCUGGGAGCCUUGGGCCCCCCUUCCCUCCCCUGAGGUCUGUAGAUGAAACCACGCUGUCUGGGGGCUUUCUGUCUACCUCUUCUUCUUUGUUCAGUGUUACUUGUUUUUGAGAGACCGAGAGACAGAGAGUGAGCGGGGAAGGGGCAGAGAGAGAGGGAGACGCAGAACCCGAAGCGGGCUCCGGGCUCCGAGCCGUCAGCAUGGAGCCCGACGCGGGGCUCGAACCCACGAACCGCGAGAUCAUGACCUGAGCCGAGGUCGGACGCCCAACCGACUGGGCCACCCAGGCACCCCUCCCGUCCACCUCUUCUAAAGUGUCCGUUCUUCCCCGUCACCCGCCUGUCCUGGGCACAAGCCACCACCCACUAGUGCGCUUAGCAGAUUUUCCCGCUCACUGUUGGCUGUCCCCCCUGGCAGCACAGCUCCAAGAGAGCAAGCAUCUGUGUCUGCUUCUGCCCCCAGCACCCAGGGCAGCGCUCAGCGCACAGUAGGCCCUCAAGAAAUA